CAGUGGUGUGACUAAUCCUUUGACCUAUGGUAUGUUGGCUAUUCCCAGCGAGGCUAUGUAGUUUAACUACACGUUCUCUUAGUCCCUAGCCAUAUGGAUUCUUGCUGUGUAUGUUAACUAUGUAGGUUCAGAUUCACUGUUUGGAGUAAGAUACACCUAGAUGGAAUCUAUCGAUCUUGGUAGAAAAGGAGAAGUCCUAUG
rnacentral:lncRNA from 1 species